AGGAGAAGAAAGUAAAGAGCACCAAAGUGGAAGCAAAAGUUAAAAAGGAAGUGAAGGAUGGAAAAGGAGAAGCAAAGAUGCCUGAGAAGGUCAAGCAGACAGAAACUAAAACAACAGAAGUUGGGUUAAUAAAGGCCAAACCGAAAGUUAAGGAGGAGAAAGCACUUCAGACUGUAACUAAAUCGGAAAAGAAAGAUCAAUAUGCAUUCUGUCGCUAUGUGAUUGACAUGUUUGCGCAAGGGGAUUUUUAUCCAGGACAUAAGGGAAUGGUAUCACCUCGUCUUCUUCUAGAACAUAGUCCAAGAAAGAAAACAGCAGCUAUUGAAGAAGAGAAGUCUAUUGUGGUAGCUAAGGAAGUGAAAAAAAGAAAGGAUGAAAAGAAAAGGACUGAUAUAAAGAGGUCUGUUACUGAAACUAAGAAGAAAGAAAAAGAAGGAAAAAAAGAGAAAGCUCAUGAGAAGACAGCUGUCCCUGAAAUUAAAAAAGCAGAUAAAAAAGAAGCUGCUGUGUCCAAAGAACUCAAAAAGCCAGCAAAAUACCCUGCAGCUAAUCCAUCCACCAAAAAAGCAGUAAUACCAGAAACACACAGGAAAGAAAAAAUGGUGGAUACUGCCAAAACAGCAAAGAAAGAAUCAAAAGUACAUGCAUCUGUGGAAACUCUGAAGUCAAAAGAUAAACCAAAGAUGAAACAAGCAAAUCCUGGAAAAGACAAAGAAUUGAAAUCUCCAGCUGCUACAAAAGAUAAAGAACACACUAAAGAAAAGGAAGGAAAGAAUCCUGCAGAUUUAAAAGAUAAAGAGUCUCUGAAAGGAAAAAAUCCCAAGAAUCCAGAGGGGUCAAAGGAUAAAGAGACUGGUAAAAGAAAAGAUGUGAGGCCUUCAGCAGUCUUAAAGGAAAAGGGAAAAGAAAUGAAGGUUUCAACUACAACUAAGGAGAAAGCUGCGGUGAAAAAGGAAGGGGAGAAGAAAGGUACUUCAGAAAAAACUCAUGAACACAAACCUGCACAUAUUAAACAUGAAAAAGCUAUCCCUCAGAUGAAGCCAGAGGAGAAAAUUAAACAACCAAAGACAGCUCCCACUGAGAAGUCAGCCCAGGCAAAACCAGCAAAGCAUGAAACGAUCAGGCAUGAAAAGGAUGUUCCAACUACAAAACCAGUCAAACUGAAAACAACUGCAAAGCCAACAGGUGAAAUUCCAAUAACAGGUAAAUAUCAAAAUUCUCUGCUAUGUCUUGUGGAAAUAUUUAAUGAACAUACCAGUACUGAAGAACACAUAACAUUCAUCAGCAAUGUACUAUGCCGAUGUAAACCAGAGCAGGUAAACUAA
rnacentral:lncRNA from 1 species